rnacentral:rRNA from 1 species
UGUCGUCAGCUCGUGUCGUGAGAUGUUGGGUUAAGUCCCGCAACGAGCGCAACCCUUGUCAUUAGUUGCUACAUUCAGUUGGGCACUCUAAUGAGACUGCCGGUGACAAGCCGGAGGAAGGUGGGAUGACGUCAAGUCCUCAUGGCCCUUAUAGGUGGGGCUACACACGUCAUACAAUGGCUGGUACAAAGGGUUGCCAACCCGCGAGGGGGAGCCAAUCCCAUAAAGCCAGUCGUAGUCCGGAUCGUAGUCUGCAACUCGACUACGUGAAGUCGGAAUCGCUAGUAAUCGUGGAUCAGAAUGUCACGGUGAAUACGUUCCCGGGUCUU